rnacentral:rRNA from 1 species
ACGUAUGGAGCAAGCGUUAUCCGGAUUUACUGGGUGUAAAGGGAGUGUAGGCGGUCUAGAAAGUCUGAUGUGAAAACCCGGGGCUCAACCGCGGGAUUGCAUUGGAAACUUUUAGACUAGAGUAUCGGAGAGGCAAGCGGAAUUCCUGGUGUAGAGGUGAAAUUCGUAGAUAUCAGGAAGAACAUCGGUGGCGAAGGCGGCUUGCUGGACGACAACUGACGCUGAGGCUCGAAAGCGUGGGAAGCGAACAG